AAACGGUUCUUUUAUCCGUUUCUUUGUGUAAAUUCUUUGGGUUGGGUAACAGUUAAAACAAGUCUGGCCCGUUUACCAUCUAUCUCGAUGUAAAUUCAUUUUUAUGUUUCUUUGUACGCUUUACACAUGAUUAAAAAACCAUGUCAUACCAAUCAAGGGCGUAGCUUUUAAGGGGCCGGGAGGGGCACCCGACCCCCCGAACUUUUCGCUCAGUAGUGUUAUGUAUGUACGUUUCGUGUAUAUACGUUUUCGACCCCCCGGUUUUAUAA
rnacentral:lncRNA from 1 species